rnacentral:rRNA from 1 species
GACGUAGGGCGCGAGCGUUGUCCGGAUUUAUUGGGCGUAAAGAGCUCGUAGACGGCUUGUCGCGUCGAAUGUGAAAUCUCGGGGCUCAACUCCGAGCUUGCAUUCGAUACGGGCAGGCUAGAGUUCGGUAGGGGAGACUGGAAUUCCUGGUGUAGCGGUGAAAUGCGCAGAUAUCAGGAGGAACACCGGUGGCGAAGGCGGUCAUCUGGGCUACAACUGACGCUGAGGCGCGAAAGCGUGGGGAGCAAACAGG